rnacentral:lncRNA from 1 species
AUGUCCUGAGCAGAAGGAUCCCUUUGGGAACCUCUCAGGAGGGGUACCUGGGCCAGGGGCAACCAGCAUCUUGCUGGCAACUCUGUGGGUUGGGUGGGGUGC